GUGGGGAAUAUUGCACAAUGGGCGCAAGCCUGAUGCAGCAACGCCGCGUGAGGGACGACGGCCUUCGGGUUGUAAACCUCUUUUAGCAGGGAAGAAGCGAAAGUGACGGUACCUGCAGAAAAAGCACCGGCUAACUACGUGCCAGCAGCCGCGGUAAUACGUAGGGUGCAAGCGUUGUCCGGAAUUAUUGGGCGUAAAGAGCUCGUAGGCGGUUUGUCGCGUCUGCUGUGAAAACCCGAGGCUCAACCUCGGGCCUGCAGUGGGUACGGGCAGACUAGAGUGCGGUAGGGGAGAUUGGAAUUCCUGGUGUAGCGGUGGAAUGCGCAGAUAUCAGGAGGAACACCGAUGGCGAAGGCAGAUCUCUGGGCCGCUACUGACGCUGAGGAGCGAAAGCAUGGGGAGCGAACAGGAUUAGAAACCCCUGUAGUCC
rnacentral:rRNA from 1 species